UGAGGAAUAUUGGUCAAUGGGCGAGAGCCUGAACCAGCCAAGUCGCGUGAGGGAAGACGGUCCUACGGAUUGUAAACCUCUUUUGUCGGGGAGCAAUAAAGCGUACGCGUACGCCGAUGCGAGUACCCGAAGAAAAAGCAUCGGCUAACUCCGUGCC
rnacentral:rRNA from 1 species